GCGAACGCUGGCGGUAUGCUUAACACAUGCAAGUCGAGCGCGAAAGUGACUUCGGUCAUAAGUAGAGCGGCGGACGGGUGAGUAACACGUGGAUAAUCUGCCUUUAGGACUGGGAUAACCCUGGGAAACUAGGGCUAAUACCGGAUAAGACCACAGGUUCCAUGGAACCAGGGGUAAAAGGCGGCCUUCGGGCUGUCGCCGAAAGAUGAGUCCGCGUCCCAUCAGGUAGUUGGUGAGGUAACGGCNCACCAAGCCGAAGACGGGUAGCCGACCUUAGCGGGUGAUCGGCCACACGGGGACUGAGACACGGCCCCGACUCCUACGGGAGGCAGCAGUGGGGAAUCUUGGGCAAUGGGCGCAAGCCUGACCCAGCAAUACCGCGUGAGGGAUGAAGGCC
rnacentral:rRNA from 1 species